GCUUACGGCCAUACCACCCUGGAAAGGCCCGAUCUCAUCUGAACUCGGAAGUAAAGCAGGGUCGGGCCUGGUUAGUACUUGGAUGGGAGACCGCCUGGGAAUACCAGGUGCUGUAAGCU
rnacentral:rRNA from 1 species